AAAGACUCUCGGCAACGGAUAUCUAGGCUCUCGCAUCGAUGAAGAACGUAGUGAAAUGCGAUACUUGGUGUGAAUUGCAGAAUCCCGUGAACCAUCGAGUUUUUGAACGCAAGUUGCGCCCGAAGCCACUAGGCUUAGGGCACGUCUGCCUGGGCGUCACGC
rnacentral:rRNA from 1 species